ACCUACUCUGUGCUACUUACAAGGACUAUGCAUUCCCCUGUAUUUCAACAGGAAUUUAUGCUCUCUAAUCUGUUACUGUCAUUUUAGAUUCUGCUUCUGGAAUAUUAG
rnacentral:lncRNA from 11 species